rnacentral:rRNA from 1 species
AAAAACAUGGCUCUUUGUUUAUCUAAAUAUAAAGAGUCAAGCCUGCCCAGUGAAAGAAAUUUUUAACGGCCGCGGUACCCUAACCGUGCAAAGGUAGCAUAAUCAUUUGCCUUAUAAUUGAAGGCUAGUAUGAAUGGUUUGACGAGAGCAGCACUGUCUCUUUUUUAUUUUCAAGAACUUAACUUUUAGGUGAAGAGGCCUAAAUUUUAUUGAAGGACAAGAAGACCCUGUCGAGCUUAAAAGACAUUGUAGAUGCUUAAGUAUAUUUCUAAAUAAAUUUCUAUUAAGCUUUUUAGUUGGGGCGACUAAGGAACAAAAAAAGCUUCUUUAUUAAAAAUAAAUAGUCAUGUCUAGAUCCGAUAAUAGUCGAUUAGAGAAAUUAGUUACCGCAGGGAUAACAGCAUAAUCUCUCUUGAGAGACCUAAUCGAAAGAGGGGGUUGUGACCUCGAUGUUGGACUAGAAUAUCCUAAAGAUGUAGAAGUCUUUAAGGGUCGGUCUGUUCGACUGUUAAAAUUCUACGUGAUCUGA